CAACCCUGAUCCAGCCAUGCCGCGUGAGUGAAGAAGGCCCUAGGGUUGUAAAGCUCUUUCAGGUGUGAGGAUGAUGACAGUAACACCAGAAGAAGCCCCGGCUAACUUCGUGCCAGCAGCCGCGGUAAUACGAAGGGGGCUAGCGUUGUUCGGAAUUACUGGGCGUAAAGGGCGUGUAGGCGGACGAUCAAGCUAGAGGUGAAAGCCCAGGGCCCAAACCCUGGAACUGCCUUUAGAACUGAUUGUCUAGAAUCCGUAAGGGGAGUGUGGAAUUCCUAGUGUAGAGGUGAAAUUCGUAGAUAUUAGGAAGAACACCAGUGGCGAAGGCGACACUCUGGUACGGUAUUGACGCUGAGGCGCGAAAGCGUGGGGAGCAAACAGGAUUAGAUACCCUGGUAGUCCACGCCGUAAACGAUGUCUGCUAGCCGUUUGGUCACUUAGUGACUGGGUGGCGCCGCUAACGCAUUAAGCAGACCGCCUGGGGAGUACGGUCGCAAGAUUAAAACUCAAAUGAAUUGACGGGGG
rnacentral:rRNA from 1 species